rnacentral:rRNA from 1 species
GUGGGGAAUCUUGCGCAAUGGCCUAACGGCUGACGCAGCGACGCCGCGUGUGGGAUGAAGCUCUUCGGAGUGUAAACCACUGUUGCCCGGGACGAAUAGCUCGAUUAAUCGAGCCUGACAGUACCGGGUGAGGAAGCACCGGCUAACUCCGUGCCAGCAGCCGCGGUAAUACGGGGGGUGCGAGCGUUGUCCGGAAUCACUGGGCGUAAAGGGCGCGUAGGUGGUUUGAUAAGGGUGUGGUGAAAGUCCGGGGCUCAACCCCGGAUCUGCCGUGCCGACUGUCAAACUCGAGGACUGUAGAGGCAGACGGAAUUCCGGGUGUAGCGGUGGAAUGCGUAGAGAUCCGGAGGAAGACCGGUGGCGAAGGCGGUCUGCUGGGCAGUUUCUGACACUGAGGCGCGACAGCGUGGGGAGCAAACAGGAUUAGAUACCCUUGUAGUCC